AUUUGUCUCCUACUUUGGCUGAGACAGAAUCCUAGCCAAUAGGCUGCAGGCCAUUAGCAGCUUUGAGUCAGCAGGGCAGCUGACCCAAGUUAGUUACAGGUGUAUGCCAUACCAAAGCACCACACUCAUUAUAAAGGAAGAAGUCUGCUAACGACAAGUUCCUUCUGCCUGAGCUCCUGCUGCUUCUCCCCACCACCCCUCGAAGGGCUGACUUACCAUCCUGCUCCGCCUUCGCAUCUACUAGUUCAAUUUAAUGGAAUAAGAUGACUGAGCUGAUGGACAGAAAAGGAAGACCUUUUUAGUAAAACAACUCAUCAGCCCAACUGUAUCUGGACCACCGAUGACAGCUGUGUAGAGACAGGCUUCCAAAGAAAUAAUCUGAAGACUAGGAAGAACAAAGUAACUGUUCAAAGGCAAAGAGCAUCUAAGAACGUUAUAUAGGCUUCUACCUAUA